UACGGAGGAUGCGAGCGUUAUCCGGAUUUAUUGGGUUUAAAGGGUGCGUAGGCGGAGCGUUAAGUCAGCGGUAAAAUCGAGGGGCUCAACCCCUUCCGGCCGUUGAAACUUCCGCACUAGAGUGGGCGAGAAGUGUGCGGAAUGCGUGGUGUAGCGGUGAAAUGCAUAGAUAUCACGCAGAACUCCGAUUGCGAAGGCAGCACACCGGCGCCCUACUGACGCUGAAGCUCGAAAGUGCGGGUAUCGAACAGG
rnacentral:rRNA from 1 species